rnacentral:rRNA from 1 species
GCUUAACCGAAGAAGUGCAUCGGAAACUGGGGAACUUGAGUGCAGAAGAGGACAGUGGAACUCCAUGUGUAGCGGUGGAAUGCGUAGAUAUAUGGAAGAACACCAGUGGCGAAGGCGGCUGUCUAGUCUGUAACUGACGCUGAGGCUCGAAAGCAUGGGUAGCGAACAGGAUUAGAUACCCUGGUAGUCCAUGCCGUAAACGAUGAGUGCUAGGUGUUGGAGGGUUUCCGCCCUUCAGUGCCGCAGCUAACGCAUUAAGCACUCCGCCUGGGGAGUACGACCGCAAGGUUGAAACUCAAAGGAAUUGACGGGGGCCCGCGCAAGCGGUGGAGCAUGUGGUUUAAUUCGAAGCUACGCGAAGAACCUUACCAGGUCUUGACAUCUUCUGCCAAUCUUAGAGAUAAGACGUUCCCUUCGGGGACAGAAUGACAGGUGGUGCAUGGUUGUCGUCAGCUCGUGUCGUGAGAUGUUGGGUUAAGUCCCGCAACGAGCGCAACCCUUAUUAUCAGUUGCCAGCAUUCAGUUGGGCACUCUGGUGAGACUGCCGGUGACAAACCGGAGGAAGGUGGGGAUGACGUCAAAUCAUCAUGCCCCUUAUGACCUGGGCUACACACGUGCUACAAUGGACGGUACAACG